AUUGAACGCUGGCGGCAGGCCUAACACAUGCAAGUCGAGCGGAUGAUGGGAGCUUGCUCCCGGAUUCAGCGGCGGACGGGUGAGUAAUGCCUAGGAAUCUGCCUGGUAGUGGGGGACAACGUUUCGAAAGGAACGCUAAUACCGCAUACGUCCUACGGGAGAAAGCAGGGGACCUUCGGGCCUUGCGCUAUCAGAUGAGCCUAGGUCGGAUUAGCUAGUUGGUGGGGUAAAGGCCUACCAAGGCGACGAUCCGUAACUGGUCUGGAGAGAGGAUGAGUCGCACGUGAACUGAGACACGGUCCAGACUCCUACAGGAGGCAGCAGUGGGGAAUAUAUGACAAGUGGCGAAUGCCUGUUUCAGACAUGCCGCGUGUGUGAAGAAGGUCUUCGGAUUGUAAAGCACUUUAAGUUGGGAGGAAGGGCAGUAAGUUAAUACCUUGCUGUUUUGACGUUACCAACAGAAUAAGCACCGGCUACCUUCGUGCCAGCCGCCGCUGUAACAC
rnacentral:rRNA from 1 species